GCCUCCUCCACAUCUCCAAUAUUCUCCAUCCGGUCUCUUCCCCUGCAUGUGAAGAACCAGAAACACACAGAUUAGAAGAAACCCUAUCCGAAUCAAUCAUCCACGUUUGUUUCGUUACCAUCACAGAAUCAAUCAUCCACGUUUCUAUGUCAGAUCUGCCGUUCAAUUCAUCUCACAUCCAUCCACGUUCUAAUUUCAUAAUGGAAUCAAGCAUCCAUUUUAAAAUCUCAGAUUUCUGGUUUAAUCUUCAAGGAGCUUUUGAAGUUAGGAUUUAAUGUUUGAGCUGA